rnacentral:pre_miRNA from 1 species
UCUUGNUUCCCUCCGUCCCAAAAUUCUUGUCUUACAUUUGUUUAGAUACGGAUGUAUCUAACACUAAAAUGUAACUAGAUACAUCCGUAUUUAGACAAAUUUAAGACAAGAAUUUUGGGACGGAGGGAGUACAAA